CCUACGGGUGGCAGCAGUGAGGAAUAUUGGUCAAUGGGCGCGAGCCUGAACCAGCCAAGUCGCGUGAAGGAUGACUGCCCUACGGGUUGUAAACUUCUUUUAUAAAGGAAUAAAGUGAGGCACGUGUGCAUUUAUGUAUGUACUUUAUGAAUAAGGAUCGGCUAACUCCGUGCCAGCAGCCGCGGUUAUACGGAGGAUCCGAGCGUUAAGCGGAUUUAUUGGGUUUAAAGGGAGCGGAAAUGGGAAGUUAAGUCAGUUGUGAAAGAUUGGGGCUCAACCGUAAAAUUGCAUUUGAUACUGGCAGCCUUGAGUACGGGAGAGGUAGGCGGAAUUCGUGGUGUAGCGGUGAAAUGCGUAGAUAUCACGAAGAACUCCGAUUGCGAAGGCAGCUUACUAGACUGCCACUGACGUUGAUGCUCGAAAGUGUGGGUAGCAAACAGGAUUAGAUACCCGGGUAGUC
rnacentral:rRNA from 1 species